rnacentral:rRNA from 1 species
AGAGUUAAAAGUACGUGAAAUUGUCAAAAGGGAAACGCUUGAAACCAGUAUUGCGUUCAGGUAAUCAGCCGUUCCUUCUGGGACGGUGCACUUGCCUGCUUGCGGGUCAACAUCAGUUUGGUUCGGGAUAAAAAGCCUUGAGAAGGUAGCCCCUCGGGGUGUUAUAGCUCAAGGUCAUGUCUCGGGCUGGACUGAGGUCUGCAGUGUUUUUUGGGUAGCCAGUCGCCUCUUGAACCCCUGUUAUGGACAGCAUGCUGACUAUGACUCGGUCUAGGGAGCCCGGUUGGGAUUCCACACCAACACUUAGGAUGUUGACGAAAUGGUUUCAAACGACC